UACGAAGGGGGCUAGCGUUGCUCGGAAUCACUGGGCGUAAAGCGCACGUAGGCGGCUUUCUAAGUCAGGGGUGAAAUCCUGGAGCUCAACUCCAGAACUGCCUUUGAUACUGGAGAGCUUGAGUCCGGAAGAGGUGAGUGGAGCUCCGAGUGUAGAGGUGAAAUUCGUAGAUAUUCGGAAGAACACCAGUGGCGAAGGCGGCUCACUGGUCCGGUACUGACGCUGAGGUGCGAAAGCGUGGGGAGCAAACAGG
rnacentral:rRNA from 1 species